rnacentral:rRNA from 1 species
GUAAGGAAUAUUGGUCAAUGGGGGCAACCCUGAACCAGCCAUGCCGCGUGAAGGAUGAAGGCGUUAUGCGUUGUAAACUUCUUUUGUAUGGGAAGAAUGACAGGGAUUUAUCCUUGGAGAGACGGUACCAGAGGAAUAAGCACCGGCUAACUCCGUGCCAGCAGCCGCGGUAAUACGGAGGGUGCAAGCGUUAUCCGGAUUUACUGGGUUUAAAGGGUGCGCAGGCGGACUGUUAAGUCAGUGGUGAAAGCCCCGGGCUCAACCUGGGAAUUGCCAUUGAUACUGGCGGUCUUGAGUACAGUAGAGGUAGGCGGAAUGCAACAUGUAGCGGUGAAAUGCUUAGAUAUGUUGCAGAACACCGAUUGCGAAGGCAGCUUGCUAUGCUGUUACUGACGCUCAGGCACGAAAGCGUGGGGAUCAAACAGGAUUAGAAACCCGAGUAGUCC